rnacentral:rRNA from 1 species
GACGUAGGGGGCGAGCGUUGUCCGGAAUCAUUGGGCGUAAAGAGCUCGUAGGCGGCUCGGUAAGUCGGGUGUGAAACCCCCAGGCUCAACCUGGGGACGCCACCCGAUACUGCUGUGGCUAGAGUCCAGUAGGGGAGUGUGGAAUUCCCGGUGUAGCGGUGAAAUGCGCAGAUAUCGGGAGGAACACCAGCGGCGAAGGCGGCACUCUGGGCUGGAACGUGACGCUGAGGAGCGAAAGCGUGGGUAGCAAACGAGGG